rnacentral:lncRNA from 1 species
UUUGGGCCGCUCCCGCGGCAUAUGGAGGUUCCCAGGCUAGAGGUCGAAUCGGAGCUGUAGCCACCGGCCUACGCCAGAGCCACAGCAACGCGGGACCCGAGCCGCGUCUGCAACCUACACCACAGCUCACAGCAACGCCGGGAUCGUUAACUCACUGAGCAGGGGCAGGGACCGAACCCGCAACCUCGUGGUUCCUAGUCGGAUUCGUUAACCACUGCGCCACGACGGGAACUCCUGCAUACAAUUAUUUCUGCAGCAGUACCUGAUACGAUAUUGCUGUAUUUUUACUUGUUUUUUUAUGCCACAGUACAUCAGAAUAAAGUAAGACAUUUUGUACCUGGCCUCAUUUAUUCCUGCUUUUAACCAUACAGAAGAAUUAGAAUGAAUUUCCAAGGUUCACUUCAACUUCUUUUAUAAUGUUCAAGACAGCAAUUCAAAAACACUUGUAUUUUAUUAUCCUACCUAGUCUUCAACCUUCAAGUCCACUUUUUCCCUACAAAAUAGAAAUAUUUUCCCUUGCAAAACAGAAAUAUUUUAUAAGUGGAAAUGUCUAGAGACAGCUUUGUUUUUAACUAAAAUUAUAAAAAUCUCAUACAUGCACAUCUAUUUCCCAAUGGCUCUCCUCUGAAAAGAGUUCUAAGAUACUUUCCCUUGCCAAAGAAAACUAGUCCUCUUGGCAGACAGCAACUAAAUUCAGGCGCUAGUCAAAUAUUUAUGUUAAAAAAAGUAUUUUAGGUGAAUUGCUGUCUAGAAAAAUAAUCUCCUGUAUUUUAUUGAAGAAAAUCUGAUAAGGAAACUGUAUUUCUUGGAGUUUCCAUUCUUUACUCAGUUCAAACUUGAGCAAUUCUUAAUAUUCUUAAUCUAAAAUAUGUAACCACUGGGGAAGGCACAAAGCAAGGGACAUCAUUGAUUUAUUUUAAGUAUCCACUGUAAUGUGUAUUCUUAAUUAAUUAUGUUCCAUAUCAUCACACUAAAUUUUGAAAUAAACCAAUUUUAACUUUAAAAAAACCUUCUCUGGAUUAUUAUGCAGGAAAGGGAGUUCUCUUUUCGACCAAAUAGCUACAUGGUAUUUUCAUCCAGUUUGAUAAAAGCAUCUUAUCUGGGAGAAAAUAUUUAUAACUGAAAAAUCAAAUAGAUAUGAUGUACAUAGAUAAAAAUCUUUCCAGGUGAGAUGAAAACCAAAAUGUAGAGCAACUUGCUAGCACAUUUCUAAACUAAUUUGUUUUUUGGUCUUUUUUUAAAAAUUCAGUGAAUUUUAUUAUAUUUAUAAUUGUACAACCACCAUAACAACCUAAUUUUAGAAGAUUUCCAUCCCAAAUCUCCAGCCCCUGCCCCCGACACGACCUCUCUCCUUUGGUAACCAUAAGUUUUCAAAGUCUGUGAGAAAGCUUCUGUUCUGCAAAUAAGUUCAUUGAAUCCUUUUUUAUAUUCCACAUACAAGUGAUAGCCUAUGAUGUUUGUUUCUCACUGUCUGACAACUUCACUUAACAUGAUGAUUUCUAGGUCCAUCCAUGUUGCUGCAAGUAACAUUAUUUCAUUCUUUUUGAUGACCAAGUAAUAUUCCAUUAUGUAUAUGUACCACAUCUUCUUUAUCUACUCCUCUGUCAAUGGACAUUUUACCUAAACUAUUUUGUGAAUAAAGGAAAAUGUCACUUAAAAUUUUUUGGAUCAAAAUACAUGUAUGGUAUCUGUCCUGACAGACUCUGUUGAACUGAUGAUGGGUGCUAUUUAUUUGGGCAUGAUUCCAAUAAACAUGAUUCAAUGGAACAUAAAGCAUUGAAGAAAGUGUAAUAAAUGCAGAUAUUUGUAGAUAGAUUCAGUGUUUGCCAAAAAAAUUCUCUUUGGAUAAUGGAUUUCAUAUCUCUCUUUUUAAAACUGGGAUAUAAUUUAUACACAGUAAAACACACAAAAGCUUGGGUAUUUAGUUCAGAGCAUUUUGGCAAUAGUAUGUACUUGUAUUACCAGCACACCAAAACAAGAUAGAGAAAAUUGAAAUCACCCCAAGAAUUUAACUCAUUGCAUUUUUCAGUCAAUUCCACUUCAACAAAGCCAUCCUUCUUUUUCUGACUUUUAUACCACAGAUAAGUUUUGGUUUUUCUUACACAUUAUCUACAUAGAAUCAUCCAUUAAGUACUCUUUUGUGAUUGCCUUUUUUUUUCCAAAACAAUAUUUUUGGAAAUCAUCCAUCCUGCUGUAUCAGUAGUUCAUUCCUUUUCCUUGCUGAAUAGUGUCAUGUUACACAAAUGUACCACAAUUUGCUUAUCCCAUCUCUUUUUGGUGAACAUUUAGACUGCUACUGGCCCUUGUGACUUAAGCUGCUGUAAACAUUAUCUACAAAUUUUUAUGUGGACAUAUGUGCUUGUUUCUCUUGGAUAAGCAUCUGGGAGUAGAAUUGUUUAGUUAUGGGGUAGAUGCACAUUUAAAUUUUUUAGAGCUGCCAAACCGUUCUCCAAUUAAGUUGCAUUAUUUUACAUCACUACCAACACUGUGCAAAGAGUCUCAGUGUUUCCCAGCCCUGUCAACAGCUGGUGUUGUCAAUCUUUUUAAUUCUAGUUCUUAUAAAGGAUUGUUUUUUGGUAGAUUGCAUAGGAUUUUCUACUUUAUAGUCAUUUACUUCUGGUAAAU